rnacentral:rRNA from 1 species
GGGGAAUUUUGGGCAAUGGGCGCAAGCCUGACGGAGCAACGCCGCGUGGAUGAUGAAGUCUAUCGGGACGUAAAAUCCUUUCAGCAGGGACGAAGCGAGUGACGGUACCUGCAGAAGAAGCAUCGGCUAACUACGUGCCAGCAGCCGCGGUAAUACGUAGGAUGCGAGCGUUGUCCGGAAUUAGUGGGCGUAAAGCGAACGUAGGCGGUUUCUUAAGAUUGGUCUUAAAGACCGGGGCUCAACCCCGGGAAUGGAUCGAUAACUGGGAGACUGGAGGACGUCAGAGGAAAGUGGAAUUCCGAGUGUAGCGGUGAAAUGCGUAGAUGUUCGGAGGAACACCAGUGGCGAAAGCGACUUUCUGGGACGUUCCUGACGCUGAGGUUCGAAAGCUCGGGGAGCAAAC